ACAGAAAAAAAGUGAAGAAAAAGAAAAAGGAAGGGGGGGCAGCAUGUGGAGAGCAGGUGGUAAUGAAGACGUGGCGAAUGGUGAUUGAUGGAAGGAAGAAAACCCACGUGGGGAGGAUGGUAUGGAUCACGUGGGCAAAGUGAAGCAGCCAAUUCCAGAGAACCACAUCAGUCCUGGUACUGUACCAUAAUUAAUCGAGUUCGUCGCGUUCUUAUCUCUUCCUCCCUUGCCCUAACGCCCGCCCCGCCUCGCCCCGCCCACUUCUUGGCUCCAUUUCUCGCAAUCUCCGAAUCUCUUUGAUUAUAUAAUCUUCUCCCACGUUUGGACACAACGCACCAGAAAUUUAUGGCCAAAUUGUUAGCCUUCUCCUGCAUUUGCACCUACACCUUCAGCUUUGCUUCUUCUUUUCUCUUCAAAUGCACAAGGCCACUGAGGUGCAGGUGCUUCUGCAAGUGAAUGCCAUCUUGGCUCUCUCUCUCCGCCACCGCCGCCAUCUCCUCCCCGUACGGCUUUUUCAGGAAGCACAGUCCAAGCAUAUUGAAGUUUGAAAGGCCUUGAAUUGUUGUAGGGGAAAAGUAAUUAAAUACUGAAGGGGUAUGAGUGAGUUGUACCUGGAUUAUUUUACUUGGCCAACAUUGUUUGUUUGUCCUACCGUACCAUUUUCCUCAUGAACUUCUACUUAGUAAACUUUAGUUUUAGAACAGUGAAUUCUGACCCCUUAUUAUUUUUAAGUUUUAUUAAACCACGAGUAGUUUGAUAUUUCUUUUAAAAAGAAAUAGAGUAAGAAAGAAAACUGAUAUUUCUCUCGGUUUAUUUAAUUAUUACACAAUGUCAACUAAAUUAAAACCGUGAUUUAUUCUCAAUUGCUUUUACAGUUUGCUGAAAAUAGAUGGGGGAUUAAUUUUAUCAUUUACAAAGAUUCUUGUAAUAAUUCAAAAUUAAAAAGAAAUAAAUAAAAUAAGAGUUCCAUAUCUUUUGGGUUGAGAAGGUAGGGAAUUGGAGUCUACUAGAGGAGGUCACUUGUGGGUUGGAGCCCGUCAAAGCAUAUAUUUUCUGAUGAUUCUAGGUCCGCUUCAAUCUAACUAAGCCUAACUUGGAUAUGAUCAUUUUUAACUAAUUUAAAUUAUUUUGAGUUAAGUUUAAAUUAUGAAUCAAUUUUCUUAGAAUUCUAAUUUAUAUAGUAGAAUUUUAAAUUAUGAUCGUGAGGCUCUUUAGAUAAAAUUAAAUUUUAAGGAGUAGUCACUAGCAACAAGGUAGCCAAUGACUUCGGGCCAAUUAAGUAAGUGUCUCCACUAUUAGCUUGGUUGAUGAAUUGUAUUAUACAUGAUGAUGCAAUGUCCCAUGGCUCCUCUACUUGUUAUAUGCAUGAAUGAUAUGUUAAGUUAUGCUAGGUUUUGAUGCUAUGUUAUGAUGUGUCAUAUAUUUCAUGUUAUGCUAUGUUGUACUAUGAUAACUUAUAUCAUGUAUAAAAGCUAUGUUAUAUUGGUGAUCAUAUCAUAUUGUAUAAAGUUGUUAUUAAAUCAAUUAUAUAUGAUAGCAUAAACUUUUGUAGAACAUGUCAUGAAAGCUAUGUUAUGUAUCUUGGAAUUUACAAGAAUUAUGCGGUAUAAUUCAUGAUUUAUUAGGCUAUAAAUAGAGGGGAGUUUUUCUUGCAUCAAACAUUAUAAGCUAUGAGGAUUUUAUGCAUAUUUGUGUCAUGUGCAUUGGGAUAUUUCACCAAUAUGAUGAGUACGGAUAAAUACAUUAUAACAUUUAUGUUUGUCAUGUUAUUAUGUGGGUCCUUCCCUCCAUAGCAUUCGGCAACAACCCAUUAGCGAGUGCUAGCUUGACGAGACAAGUCCAGGAAGUGUGUGAGCCCACUUGGCGGGCCCAUGCACGCACGCGUGAGUCAUCCAUAGAGGAGUACUAUGCAUCCAACCUUGUCGAGCCUAAAGUCAUGCUAUGAUGUUUUAAGAGGAUAGAUCUUACCAUGUUACAUUUGUUUGCCUUUUCU